rnacentral:rRNA from 1 species
CAUCGCCUGAAGCAAUAAAUUUUAGGUACCACCUGCCCAAUGAUUUUUAAUGGCCGCAGUAUCCUGACUGUGCAAAGGUAGCAUAAUCACUUGUCUUUUAAUUGGAGGCUAGUAUGAAUGGUAAGACGGGGUGGUAUCUUUCCCAUAGUUUAAAUUUAACUUAAUAAAAAAGUUAAAAAGCUUUUAUAAAUCCGCAGGACGAGAAGACCCCGUAGAGCUUUAUAAAUGUAACUUGGGACCUUUAGGUGUAACUUAAACUAGGAUAAAUUUUUAUUUGGUUGGGGCGACUUGAAGUUAAACAACACUUUUUUACGAAACUUGAAUUUAAGGUUAAUUGACCCGUAUGACGAAUAAAAAAUUAAGCUACCUUGGGGAUAACAGCGUAAUCUAAUUUUAGAGUCCUUAUCAAAACUUAGGGUUGCGACCUCGAUGUUGGAUUAAGAAUCGGUUUAAGUGUAGCAGCUUAACACCGGGGUCUGUUCGACCUUUAAAUUCUUACAUGAUCU